ACUUGUUAUAAUUAUAUGGGUGUGCCCUGCUCCAAGUAGAGAGUUGGUGUGGGGCUCCUUGUCGAAGGGCAGGGUGGUCUUACACCCUAAAGAGGAGGGAAACGCGUGAGGCUGGAUUCACAGAGCAACGAUUACCUCCCGCUCUCUGCAGUGGAAGGAUAACGCGCCCAUUUUUUAGU
rfam:Picea glauca, whole genome shotgun sequence.